AUUAAACGCUGGCGGCAUGCCUUACACAUGCGAGUCGAACGGCAGCACGGGGGCAACCCUGGUGGCGAGUGGCGGACGGGUGAGUAAUGCAUCGGAACGUGCCCUGAAGUGGGGGGAUAACGCAGCGAAAGCUACGCUAAUACCGCAUAUUCUGUGAGCAGGAAAGCAGGGGAUCGCAAGACCUUGCGCUUUGGGAGCGGCCGAUGUCGGAUUAGCUAGUUGGUGGGGUAAAGGCCUACCAAGGCGACGAUCCGUAGCGGGUCUGAGAGGAUGAUCCGCCACACUGGGACUGAGACACGGCCCAGACUCCUACGGGAGGCAGCAGUGGGGAAUUUUGGACAAUGGCGCAAGCCUGAUCCAGCCAUGCCGCGUGAGUGAAGAAGGCC
rnacentral:rRNA from 1 species